UCAGAGGGUCGGGCGACCGCCCGCCUUCGCCUAAGGCUAUGACGUGGCUUGCCACGCCAUAGCCUUAGCGAAGGCGGGAGGAAAGUCCGGGCUCCAUUGAAGCAGGAUGCCGGAUAACGUCCGGCGGGCAUAUCGGAAACGAUAUGUUUAGGGAAAGUGCACAGAAAGCAAACCGCCCCAUCAAUUUCGAUUGGCGAGGUAAGGGUGAAAGGGUGUGGUAAGAGCGCACCGUACGUUUUGGCAACAAGGCGGGCAUGGUAAACCCCAUCCGGAGCAAGACCAAAUAGGGGCGGCAUUAUGGUGUGCUUUAGCAUCGCUGCCCGGGUUGGUCGCUUGAGGCGCUGAGUAAUCAACGUCCCAGAUGAAUGGUCGCCGCGUUUUGUCUUUGGCAGAGCGUACAGAACCCGGCUUAUAGACCCUCUGAUAUA
rnacentral:RNase_P_RNA from 1 species